rnacentral:rRNA from 1 species
UACGUAGGGUGCAAGCGUUAAUCGGAAUUAUUGGGCGUAAAGCGCGCGCAGGCGGUUUCUUAAGUCUGAUGUGAAAGCCCACGGCUCAACCGUGGAGGGUCAUUGGAAACUGGGGAACUUGAGUGCAGAAGAGAAAAGCGGAAUUCCACGUGUAGCGGUGAAAUGCGUAGAGAUGUGGAGGAACACCAGUGGCGAAGGCGGCUUUUUGGUCUGUAACUGACGCUGAGGCGCGAAAGCGUGGGGAGCAAACAGG